rnacentral:rRNA from 1 species
CCUACGGGAGGCAGCAGUGGGGAAUCUUGCGCAAUGGGCGAAAGCCUGACGCAGCAACGCCGCGUGCGGGAUGACGGCCUUCGGGUUGUAAACCGCUUUCAGUGGGGACGAACCAAGACGGUACCCACAGAAGAAGCCCCGGCCAACUACGUGCCAGCAGCCGCGGUAACACGUAGGGGGCGAGCGUUGUCCGGAUUUAUUGGGCGUAAAGAGCUCGUAGGCGGUUCGAUAAGUCGGGUGUGAAACCUCCAGGCUCAACCUGGAGACGCCACCCGAUACUGUCGUGACUAGAGUCCAGUAGGGGAGCGUGGAAUUCCUGGUGUAGCGGUGAAAUGCGCAGAUAUCAGGAGGAACACCAGUGGCGAAGGCGGCGCUCUGGGCUGGAACUGACGCUGAGGAGCGAAAGCGUGGGGAGCGAACAGGAUUAGAUACCCUGGUAGUCCACGCCGUAAACGUUGGGUACUAGGUGUGGGGUCUUAUCAACGGAUUCCGUGCCGCAGCUACGACAUAACGUACCCGCCGUCGGGUAGGUACGGCCGCGACGGACGUAAACUACAAAGAAGUAGACGGCGUGAGACGNGCCGACGGACGACGACGAGGGAGGAGG